CUAUUUAUUUCCUUUUAUUCUUUCUAACAGCAACAGGCAUCACAUAGACUACUAAAGGUCGUAUCCAUCACUCCAUUUUCCUGCCUGCUAUGAAACAUGGUAUAUUAAUCUCCCAACAAGCAACACUUUUUUUCCAGAAUUCUUGAACUAUACUACAGGUCCACCAUACAUGGAAAAAGAUCCUUUCGCCUUCUUACAUCUCCAGUAAGCCUCUAGCCCUGUUUGGACAAUAAUUAUGGAGUUAUGUAAGUUCUAUAAAACAUUUAUUUAUU
rnacentral:lncRNA from 11 species